rnacentral:rRNA from 1 species
GUAGGGAAUAUUGGGCAAUGGAUGCAAGUCUGACCCAGCAAUGCCGCGUGCAGGAAGAAGGCCUUCGGGUUGUAAACUGCUUUUGUACGGAACGAAAAGGCUCUGGCUAAUACCUGGAGCUCAUGACGGUACCGUAAGAAUAAGCACCGGCUAACUACGUGCCAGCAGCCGCGGUAAUACGUAGGGUGCGAGCGUUAAUCGGAAUUACUGGGCGUAAAGCGUGCGCAGGCGGUGCUGUAAGACAGGCGUGAAAUCCCCGGGCUCAACCUGGGAAUUGCGCUUGUGACUGCAGCGCUGGAGUGCGGCAGAGGGGGAUGGAAUUCCGAGUGUAGCAGUGAAAUGCGUAGAUAUGCGGAGGAACACCGAUGGCGAAGGCAAUCCCCUGGGCCUGCACUGACGCUCAUGCACGAAAGCGUGGGGAGCAAACAGGAUUAGAUACCCUGGUAGUCC